rnacentral:rRNA from 1 species
GACGAACGCUGGCGGCGUGCUUAACACAUGCAAGUCGAACGAUGAACCCGGAGCUUGCUCCGGUGGAUUAGUGGCGAACGGGUGAGUAACACGUGAGUAACCUGCCCUUGACUCUGGGAUAACUGCGGGAAACUGUAGCUAAUACCGGAUACGACCCUCGGCGGCAUCGCCAGGGGGUGGAAAGAAUUUCGGUCAAGGAUGGACUCGCGGCCUAUCAGCUAGUUGGUGAGGUAACGGCUCACCAAGGCGCGGACGGGUAGCCGGCCUGAGAGGGGGCCGGCCCACACUGGGACUGGGACACGCCCCAGCCUCCUAGGGGAGGCAGCGGGGGGGAAUAUGGCACAAUGGGCGCAAGCCUGAUGCAGCAACGCCGCGGGAGGGAUGACGGCCUUCGGGUUGUAACCCUCUUUUAGUAGGGAAGAAGCGAAAGUGACGGUACCUGCAGAAAAAGCACCGGCUAACUACGUGCCAGCAGCCGCAGUAA